AGUAAUGCGUGACCAACCUCGCCCCAUGCUCCAGAAUAGCUCUUGGAAACGGGUGGUAAUGCUGGAUGCUCCAACUUGACGCAUGUCUUGUUGGGNAAAGUGUUUAGUGGCAUGGGAUGGGGUCGCGUCCUAUCAGCUUGUAGGCGGGGUAAUGGCCCCACCUAGGCUUCGACGGGUAGCCGGCCUGAGAGGGCGGACGGCCACAUUGGGACUGAGAUACGGCCCAGACUCCUACGGGAGGCAGCAGCC
rnacentral:rRNA from 1 species